CCUACGGGUGGCAGCAGUCGGGAAUAUUGCGCAAUGGAGGAAACUCUGACGCAGUGACGCCGCGUGCAGGAAGAAGGUUUUCGGAUUGUAAACUGCUUUAGACAGGGGAGUAAAAAGACAGUCCCUGUAGAAUAAGCUCCUGCUAACUACGUGCCAGCAGCCGCGGUAAUACGUAGGGACCGAGCGUUAUCCGGAUUUAUUGGGUGUAAAGGGUGCGUAGACGGAGAAGCAAGUCAGUUGUGAAAUUCCUCGGCUCAACUGAGGAACUGCAGUUAAAACUACUUGUCUUGAGUACUGGAGAGGAAAGUGGAAUUCGUAGUGUAGCGGUGAAAUGCGUAGAUAUCAGGAGGAACACCAGUGGCGAAGGCGACUUUCUGGACAGUAACUGACGUUGAGGCACGAAAGUGUGGGGAGCAAACAGGAUUAGAUACCCGAGUAGUC
rnacentral:rRNA from 1 species